ACGCCGCGUGCGGGAUGAAGGCCUUCGGGUUGUAAACCGCUUUUACCAGGAAGGAAAAUGACAGUUACCUGGAGAAUAAGGUGCGGCCAACUACGUGCCAGCAGCCGCGGUGACACGUAGGCACCAAGCGUUGUCCGGAUUUAUUGGGCGUAAAGAGCUCGUAGGCGGUUCAGUAAGUCGGGUGUGAAAACUCUGGGCUUAACCCAGAGACGCCACCCGAUACUGCUGUGACUUGAGUCCGGUAGGGGAGUGGGGAAUUCCUGGUGUAGCGGUGAAAUGCGCAGAUAUCAGGAGGAACACCAAUGGCGAAGGCACCACUCCGGGCCGAGACUGACGCUGAGGAGCGAAAGCGCGGGUAGCAAACAGGAUUAGAUACCCUGGUAGUCCACGCCGUAAACGGUGGGCACUAGAUGUGGGUUCCAACCAACGGAAUCCGCGUCGUCGCUAACGCAUUAAGUGCCCCGCCUGGGGAGUACGGCCGCAAGGUUAAAACUCAAAGGAAUUGACGGGGGCCCGCACAAGCAGCGGAGCGUGUUGCUUAAUUCGAUGCUACGCGAAGAACCUUACCUGGGUUUGACAUGUACGGAAAAGCCACAGAGAUGUGGUGUCCUUCGGGGUCGUAC
rnacentral:rRNA from 1 species